AAAAAGCUCGUAGUUGGAUUUCUGUUGAGGGCAGCGUCCGCACUUUGUGCAGUAUCUGUUUUGACCUCGCAUCCUCUUGAAGAACGAUACUGUGAUUCAGUUCGUGGUUCGGAAUUCAGACUUUUACUUUGAGGAAAUUAGAGUGUUCACGGCAAGCAAUCGCUUUGAAUACAUAGCAUGGAAUAAUAAUAUAGGACCUGGUACUAUUUUGUUGGUUUCUAGAACUAAGGUAAUGAUUAAUAGGGAUAAUUGGGGGCAUUCGUAUUAAGACGUCAGAGGUGGAAUUCUUGGAUUGUCUUACGACGAACUACUGCGAAAGCACUUGCCAAGGAUGUUUUCAUUGAUCAAGAACGAAAGUAUGGGGAUCGAAGACGAUUAGAUACCGUCGUAGUCUAUACCAUAAACUAUGCCAACUAGAGAUUGGAGGUCGUAUUUUCUAUGACUCCUUCAGCACCUUAUGAGAAAUCAAAGUUUUUGGGUUCCGGGGGGAGUAUGGUCGCAAGGCUGAAACUUA
rnacentral:rRNA from 1 species